rnacentral:rRNA from 1 species
AGGCAAGCAGUGGGGGAAUAUUGCACAAUGGGCGCAAGCCUGAUGCAGCGACGCCGCGUGAGGGAUGACGGCCUUCGGGUUGUAAACCUCUUUCACCCAUGACGAAGCGCAAGUGACGGUAGUGGGAGAAGAAGCCCGGCCAACUACGUGCCAGCAGCCGCGGUAAUACGUAGGGUGCGAGCGUUGUCCGGAAUUACUGGGCGUAAAGAGCUCGUAGGCGGUUUGUCGCGUCGUCUGUGAAAUCCCGCAGCUCAACUGCGGGCUUGCAGGCGAUACGGGCAGACUCGAGUACUGCAGGGGAGACUGGAAUUCCUGGUGUAGCGGUGAAAUGCGCAGAUAUCAGGAGGAACACCGGUGGCGAAGGCGGGUCUCUGGGCAGUAACUGACGCUGAGGAGCGAAAGCGUGGGUAGCGCACCCACGGAUUAGAUACCGACAAUAGAGAUAGUCCACGCCGUAAACGGUGUUCUUUCCCCCCCCCGUUUCUAUCUCCCCUCCGUGCCCCCCGCCAACCCGCCGUUUU